GAUUAGAUACCCCAGUAGUCAAAGCAGAAAAUGAUGAAUGUCAUAUAUUAGACUUAUAAUUGUUUAUUAUAUAAAUGAAAGUGUAAGCAUUCCACCUCAAGAGUAAUUUGGCAACAUUGGAACUGAAAUCAUUAGACCGUUUCUGAAACCAGUAGUGAAGUAUGUUGUUUAAUUUGAUGAUCCGCAAAAAACCUUACCACAACUUGAAUAUAUAUAUAUUAUUUUUCUCUUUUUAGUCUUUUUUAGUAUCAGAUUAAGGGGGGAAAAGGUAUAUUUACAAGCGUUGCACGGCUGUCUUCAGUUAAUGUCGUGAGACUAUGGUUAGUUCCAUUAAAUUAACGUAAACCCUUACUUUAUUUUUUAUAUAGAGUUGUUCCCCACUAUAUUGGAUAUGAUAACAGGGACUAAGACAAGUCAUCA
rnacentral:rRNA from 1 species